AGCUUUGAGCAGUGGUAGUAUUGUAGCCAGUGAGGUUUAUCUGAGGCUUGAUUAUUGCUAAUUGAAAACAUGACUUUCUUCUCAGAAAUAAGGAUGGUGCUUGGUCGAAUGUGAGCACCUAAUAAACACUGACUAACUCUGUAGAAAUUCAGCUAGAAAGAGU
rnacentral:snRNA from 1 species